rnacentral:rRNA from 1 species
GAUGAACGCUGGCGGCGUGCCUAAUACAUGCAAGUCGAGCGAACGGACGAGAAGCUUGCUUUUCUGAUGUUAGCGGCGGACGGGUGAGUAACACGUGGAUAACCUACCUAUAAGACUGGGAUAACUUCGGGAAACCGGAGCUAAUACCGGAUAAUAUUUUGAACCGCAUGGUUCAAAAGUGAAAGACGGUCUUGCUGUCACUUAUAGAUGGAUCCGCGCUGCAUUAGCUAGUUGGUAAGGUAACGGCUUACCAAGGCAACGAUGCAUAGCCGACCUGAGAGGGUGAUCAGCCACACUGGAACUGAGACACGGUCCAGACUCCUACGGGAGGCAGCAGUAGGGAAUCUUGCGCAAUGGGCGAAAGCCUGACGGAGCAACGCCGCGUGAGUGAUGAAGGUCUUCGGAUCGUAAAACUCUGUUAUUAGGGAAGAACAUAUGUGUAAGUAACUGUGCACGUCUUGACGGUACCUAAUCAGAAAGCCACGGCUAACUACGUG